rnacentral:rRNA from 1 species
AUUGAACGCUGGCGGCAGGCCUAAUACAUGCAAGUCGAACGAGUGGCGGACGGGUGUGUAAUGUCUGGGAAACUGCCCGAUGGAGGGGGAUAACUACUGGAAACGGUAGCUAAUACCGCAUAGCAUCCGAUGUGCCUAGAUGGGAUUAGCUUGUUGGUGGGGUAACGGCUCACCAAGGCGACGAUCCCUAGCUGGUCCCCACGGAGGACCAGCCACUCUGGAACUGAGAAACGGUCCGACCUCCUACGGGAGGCAGCAGUGGGUAAUAUUGCACAAUGAGCGAAAGCUGGAUGCAGCCAUGCCGCGUGUAUUAAGAAGUCCUUCGGGUUGUAAAGUACGUUCAGCGGGGAGGCGUUACCCGAAGAAGAAGCACCGGCUAACUCCGUGCCAGCAGCCGCGGUAAUAC